rnacentral:rRNA from 1 species
GCCACAAAUCUAGCCCCCCCCCAAAUUAAUGCCUCACACCCCCAAACCCCACUCCAUAAAACAUUUUCUCAUCCUAGUAAAGGCGAUUAAAAACUUAAUAAGAGCUAUAGAAUCAGUACCGCAAGGGAAUAAUGAAAUAGUAAUGAAAUAAGCCUAAAGCACCUAAAAGCAGAGACUCACCCUUGUACCUUUUGCAUCAUGGUCUAGCUAGUCUAACCAAGCAAAACCCAUUAUAGUUUGAACCCCCGAAAUUAAGUGAGCUACUUCAAAACAGCCUUCCAGGGCCAACCCGUCUCUGUUGCAAAAGAGUGGGAAGAUUUUCAAGUAGAGGUGAUAAACCUACCGAACUUAAAGAUAGCUGGUUAUUCAGGAAAAGAACUUUAAUUCUACCUUAAGCUCUAAUUAUUCCUAAAUAUUAUAAUAAGCUUAAGAGUUAAUCAAACAGGGUUCAGCCUGUUUGAUUUAGGGCACAACCAAAAUCAUAGGGUAAUGUAAUAAAGAUAUGACUAAGUAGGCCUAAGAGCAGCCACCUUUAAAAAAGCGUCACAGCUUCGCCAUAAACAACCAAAAAUUCCACUCCAAUCACAAAACCCCUCUCCCAUACUGAAUAAUUUUAUAUUAAUAUAAAAGAUAUUAUGCUAGAACUAGUAACAAGAAACAGAACUUCUCUUAAAUGUAAGUAUAACCCAAAAUGAACAAAUCCUUGGCCACUACUGCUAUGACCCAAAAGUACUAACCUCCGCUAGAAAACCUUACUUACCCAAGCACUAACCUUACACAAGAACAUUACAAGAAAGAUUUAAAUAAGGGGAAGGAACUCGGCAAAUUUUAGUCUCGCCUGUUUACCAAAAACAUCGCCUCUUGACUACAUAAGAGGUCCAGCCUGCCCAGUGACCAAAUUUAACGGCCGCGGUACCCUAACCGUGCAAAGGUAGCAUAAUCACUUGUUCUUUAAAUAAGGACUAGUAUGAACGGCAUCACGAAGACUAUACUGUCUCCCCCCUAUAAUCAGUGAAACUGAUCUCCCCGUGAAGAAGCGGGGAUACACCUAUAAGACGAGAAGACCCCAUGGAGCUUAAAACAAGUUUCACCUGCCCAUUACAAUAUCUUAAUAACCCAGCAGACAUGACUACUAGUUUUCGGUUGGGGUGACCACGGAGUAAAACACAACCUCCAUAAUGAACGGAACUAAACUCCUAACUUAAGAGCUACAACUCAAAAAAUUAAAAUACUAACACACUUGACCCAAAUAUUGAUCAAUGAACCAAGUUACCCUGGGGAUAACAGCGCAAUCCAUUUUAAGAGCUCCUAUCGACAAGUGGGUUUACGACCUCGAUGUUGGAUCAGGGUAUCCUAGUGGUGCAGCCGCUACUAAAGGUUCGUUUGUUCAACGAUUAAAACCCUACGUGAUCUGAGUUCAGACCGGAGCAAUCCAGGUCGGUUUCUAUCUAUAAAGUGCUCCUCCUAGUACGAAAGGACCGGAAGAACAUGGCCCAUGCUAAAACAAGCCAUACUCACCCAUUAAUGAAAACAACUUAAUUCCUAACGACCUAAAACAAGUCAAGGCCAAGACAAGGCCU